rnacentral:rRNA from 1 species
CGCGCAGGUGGUUUCUCAAGUCAGUGGUGAAAGCCCGGAGCUCAACUCCGGAACUGCCAUUGAAACUGUGGAACUCGAGGACGAGAGAGGUGAGUGGAAUUCCCAGUGUAGAGGUGAAAUUCGUAGAUAUUGGGAAGAACACCGGUGGCGAAGGCGGCUCACUGGCUCGUAUCUGACACUCAAGCGCGACAGCGUGGGGAUCAAACAGGAUUAGAUACCCUGGUAGUCCACGCCGUAAACGAUGAUUGCUAGCCGUUGGGCAGCUUGCUGUUCAGUGGCGCAGCUAACGCAUUAAGCAAUCCGCCUGGGGAGUACGGCCGCAAGGUUGAA